CUGUGUUGUGUGACUCAGAAGAUGAGGGAAGAUCAUAAUUUCUAGCUUCCAGGAGGUGGAUUUACUAUGAAGCUAAUGACGCUUAACCUUCAAGACCGCUUAUUUGCCUGGGCCUCUACUAGCUUCAUUUGAAAAUAUUCACUUUGGUUGGAGUCACUCUCUUAUUGUGAUUUAUUGAGAGGACCGAGGUCGUUAGUCCUGGCAUGUCACCUGGAUCAGCAGAUAUAGCAACUUAUCUUAGUUUGUCUGGUGGAAGAUACAGGAUGUGAUUGUGUGUGUAACAUAUGAAGGAACUAUGUUUGGAAAGGGUCGUCGACUUGAAAAUAUGCAAAAAGAUAUGGGGGGGGCAAAAGAGUGGCCUUGAAGUGAGGAGAUGCCCUGAAAGAAGAUAAGCAGAAGCAGUGGAGAAGAGCGAGAAUGAGAAGGAAA